rnacentral:misc_RNA from 1 species
GUCACAGAAGAACAGCACAAAACUAAACCAGUUUCUAUUUGAGCAAUGUAAUUUUUUGUUAAACUGAAUUGAUAUGGAGCGAUCCUUUUAUAUAUUGUUUGUAAGGCAAAAUCAACUGGCUUGCGUUUGCAAACAUAUUACUAAUUUACUAUGAUGUGUGGAAAAUUACAAGAAAAAGGAGAUAAUUGCUUUACAUGGGCAUAGGCAUAAUCUUUUGUAGAUAAUUGCCUCAUGACCAUAGUUGAAAAUACCGUACACGUAUAAUUUAGGUUGGCUAAAUGCUGUUUAUAGAUUUAGUUACAAUACAUAUUCACUAUAGAUUGUUGUGGGAGGUAGCUUUUACAAUGAUAGGAUGCAGAUUUGCCUCUCAUCUUUACAUUCUUCUCUUCUUGUUUAUACCAGAAGGUCACCACAACCAUUUAUCCCAUGUUCUAUAGUCAUAGGAUCAGUAAUUAAUGAAAGGAAAUUACCGAUGAAGUAAUGUAAAAAUUUUGAGUUGCAUGGCCUUGUACAUUGGCAAGAAGAAUUCUGAUUAUCAUAUAAAUGUCAGUAAACGCACGUGCUGUUUUUUGUGGUUUGCCGAAGGAAAAGGGACCUGAAAC